rnacentral:rRNA from 1 species
AGAGUUUGAUCCUGGCUCAGGAUGAACGCUGGCGGCGUGCUUAACACAUGCAAGUCGAACGAAGCACUUUAUUUGAUUUCCUUCGGGACUGAUUAUUUUGUGACUGAGUGGCGGACGGGUGAGUAACGCGUGGGUAACCUGCCUUGUACAGGGGGAUAACAGUUGGAAACGGCUGCUAAUACCGCAUAAGCGCACAGCAUCGCAUGAUGCAGUGUGAAAAACUCCGGUGGUAUAAGAUGGACCCGCGUUGGAUUAGCUAGUUGGUGAGGUAACGGCCCACCAAGGCGACGAUCCAUAGCCGACCUGAGAGGGUGACCGGCCACAUUGGGACUGAGACACGGCCCAAACUCCUACGGGAGGCAGCAGUGGGGAAUAUUGCACAAUGGGCGAAAGCCUGAUGCAGCGACGCCGCGUGAGCGAAGAAGUAUUUCGGUAUGUAAAGCUCUAUCAGCAGGGAAGAUAAUGACGGUACCUGACUAAGAAGCACCGGCUAAAUACGUGCCAGCAGCCGCGGUAAUACGUAUGGUGCAAGCGUUAUCCGGAUUUACUGGGUGUAAAGGGAGCGUAGACGGAUGGACAAGUCUGAUGUGAAAGGCUGGGGCUCAACCCCGGGACUGCAUUGGAAACUGCCCGUCUUGAGUGCCGGAGAGGUAAGCGGAAUUCCUAGUGUAGCGGUGAAAUGCGUAGAUAUUAGGAGGAACACCAGUGGCGAAGGCGGCUUACUGGACGGUAACUGACGUUGAGGCUCGAAAGCGUGGGGAGCAAACAGGAUUAGAUACCCUGGUAGUCCACGCGGUAAACGAUGAAUGCUAGGUGUCGGGUGACGAAGUCAUUCGGUGCCGCCGCAAACGCAUUAAGCAUUCCACCUGGGGAGUACGUUCGCAAGAAUGAAACUCAAAGGAAUUUGACGGGGACCCGCACAAGCGGUGGAGCAUGUGGUUUGAUUCGAAGCAACGCGAAGAACCUUACCAAGUCUUGACAUCCCUCUGACCGGAACUUAACCGUUCCUUUCCUUCGGGACAGAGGAGACAGGUGGUGCAUGGUUGUCGUCAGCUCGUGUCGUGAGAUGUUGGGUUAAGUCCCGCAACGAGCGCAACCCCUAUCCCCAGUAGCCAGCGGUUCGGCCGGGCACUCUGAGGAGACUGCCAGGGAUAACCUGGAGGAAGGCGGGGAUGACGUCAAAUCAUCAUGCCCCUUAUGAUUUGGGCUACACACGUGCUACAAUGGCGUAAACAAAGGGAAGCGAACCUGCGAGGGUGGGCAAAUCCCAAAAAUAACGUCUCAGUUCGGACUGCAGGCUGCAACUCGCCUGCACGAAGCUGGAAUCGCUAGUAAUCGCGAAUCAGAAUGUCGCGGUGAAUACGUUCCCGGGUCUUGUACUCACCGCCCGUCA